GCUAAUGCUACGGUUCUUACCCUAAUGUAACAGUUUGUUACCUAAUGCAACGGUCUCGCGUGUGUCGUUGCGUUAGCGUCUUAUGGCGUUGCAUUAGGUGAGCUAAUGCAACGGCUGUUGUUAUUAUAAAGCACGCGACAUUCAGCCCGCGGCACUCCCAAUCGUCCCUUUUAUUAUUCCCGAAGUUUUGAAACCCUUUUAACUCAAUUGCUCCCAAAUUCAAACACCUUCUAAUUUCAUUUCAAGUUGAAGAAUAAUAAUGGCGGCACUCUCAAUCUCCCAUCUGGAAAAAAUAUGCAAAUUACUCUUGAGAUUCAGUAAUUAAAACCCCCAGAUUGAUUUAACCGCAUCUCUAUUAAACCCUAAUUUCUAUUUCCAAUCAUCAUUAGGUCCUACCCAUCUUUGCACUUUGUCGAGCUCUACCUUCAGCCGAUGGCGGCAACCUAGAUGAUCCUACCUCCAGGCAAUGUUGGGGAUCCGACCACUAUUUCAGAUCUGGUUCGACCAAGACACUGGAAAAUGGCAUUAAUUUGGAUGCAUUUGGAAGGAAACCAAUUACCCUAACCUUCAACGCAAUGUCUAAAUCUACGAAUGGGUCGUAUCCAAGAGUCAGAAUUGACAGAAAAGGAGCAGGGUGAGCUAAAUGGAGAAGAAAUGUAGAUCUAGCAAAUGAGAUGGCGGAGGCUCUUGUUUGUUUUUGGGUCAUUUUGUGCUUUCUAGUAAUCUUGAAUUUGUUUCAAUGGAUUUUAUGUAUUUUUGCCAUUAAAAACACUAAAUUAAUUUGUGAACAACUAUUGUGUAAUGCAUGUGUCCUAUGGGCACCAAUAUUGUAAUAUUACUAUUUAAAUCAAUGAAAACCUUUUG